rnacentral:rRNA from 1 species
UACGUAGGGUGCAAGCGUUGUCCGGAAUUAUUGGGCGUAAAGGGCUCGUAGGCGGUCCAUCGCGUCGGGAGUGAAAAGCUGGGGCUUAACCCCAGUCCUGCUUCCGAUACGGGUGGACUAGAGGUAGGUAGGGGAGAUCGGAAUUCCUGGUGUAGCGGUGAAAUGCGCAGAUAUCAGGAGGAACACCAGUGGCGAAGGCGACUACCUGGCCUGUUCUUGACGCUGAGGCGCGAAAGCUAGGGGAGCAAACGGG